rnacentral:rRNA from 1 species
GGUACGCACUACUGUCGGCCGGCUUUCGUGCCGGUUUUCCCGUCGUGGCCUUCGCCGGUCGCGGCGGGUGGCUGGCGAGUUUACUUUGAGAAAAUCAGAGUGCUCAACACAGGCGUCUAGCUUGAAUGAUUGUGCAUGGAAUAAUGGAAAAGGAUCACGGUCCUCUUUUAUUGGUUUUGUGGACUGAGAUAAUGGUUAACAGGGACAAACGGGGGCAUUCGUAUCGCUGCGUGAGAGGUGAAAUUCUUGGACCGUAGCGAGACGCCCGACUGCGAAAGCAUUUGCCAAGAAUGUCUUCAUUAAUCAAGAACGAAAGUCAGAGGUUCGAAGGCGAUCAGAUACCGCCCUAGUUCUGACCGUAAACGAUGCCAACUAGCGAUUCGCCGGUGGAUUUCACGCCCUGGUGAGUAGCUUCCCGGAAACGAAAGUCUUCCGGUUCCGGGGGAAGUAUGGUUGCAAAGCUGAAACUUAAAGGAAUUGACGGAAGGGCACCACCAGGAGUGGAGCCUGCGGCUUAAUUUGACUCAACACGGGGAAACUCACCCGGCCCGGACACCGUGAGGAUUGACAGAUUGAGAGCUCUUUCAUGAUUCGGUGGUUGGUGGUGCAUGGCCGUUCUUAGUUCGUGGAUCGAUUUGUCUGGUUUAUUCCGAUAACGAGCGAGACUCUAGCCUACUAAAUAGCCGCGAUAUUACUUUAACUGUGUCGCGCGCUUCUUAGAGGGAUUCGCGG